GGGGGCGGGCCGGGUGGGGCGGGCUCUGGACCGCAGGUUUUGGCGCUCCUUCGCACCGGGCUCUCUGCGGCCGAAGUUUCAGGCGUAUGCUAAUAACCCCCGGCGCGUGGCUGAGUGUGAGCGAGCGUGUGGGACGUCGGGAGGCGUCGUGGAUUAACUGAACCGCCACACUCGGCUGUCCCUUGUCUGGACCAAAACUGCUGACUGACCCUGGCGGUCACAUUUGCCCUCUGGGGUUUUUGAAAACCUUAAAUCAAAGUUACUUUUCUCCCUGGCAACUCCCAAGGCUACUUCCGCGGCCUCUGGGCUGUGAACUGAUAAGGACGUGAGUUUUCCCGACCAGGGGUGAGCAUACCAGUGACAAAUCAGCUCUCUAGAGGAAGGACCAGGCUAAGAAGCCCAUGAAGAAGCAGAUUGGUAUGCAUUUAAGCAAGGAAUUCUGGAGUCCCAGGGAUGGAAUGGGGACUAAGGAAUGAAUUGUCCCUGUCCUCAUGAAAUUUAAAGUCUGGAGAGAAACUGGACAUUGAGCAGGCAAUCAUGUGCCAGGAAGAGAUCAUCUCUAAAACACAAUGUGGCGGGAUAGAAGCAGAGAGACAAAUAAGGAAACUAUUAUUCCAGGCAACUGGAAUGGUACUGGUUUUGACCAUAAUGGUAGAAGGAGAAGUUCCAGCGGGUAAAUACUAAGUACUGUUAGUUUGGAUUGGUGAGAGGGAAAUGGACGUGUAAAGCAGCCAAGGGACUUUUCUUACUUUUAGUUUUGUUUGUUUAUAGAAUUUACGGGAAUGAUGUAAAGAUUUACAGUAAAAUGACACGUGACUAUUCAUGUGUUCAUUUAGUCAGUCAUACUUGACCAGAUUAAGAAAGAAAAAUAUUGCCAAUACCAUAAAACCCUCUGUGAUCUCCUUCCUUAUCUCCCCCCCACCACCUCCCAGACUAACCGUUGUCCUGCCUUGUUUUGAUCAUUCUUUUAUGCUUCUUUAUAGAUUUGCCAAUUAGGUAUAUAUAUAUAAAUUCUAUGACAAGCACAAACCUAGCUGUGCAGAGAAAGGAAAAUACCGCCACUAUGAGACAGAGGCUUCUGGCAGAAGAUGAGUGACCAGAACUGUGUGAUCACAAUGGGACUUCAGCCUUUCUGAAAGCUUCCAAGGUCCCUCACCUGGUGCAGUCUUUGGGUGUGGUCUUGAGUGUAUCUUGGGAAGCAUUGGGCUGCCUUACUGGAGCUGGGUCAGCAAGCAGGACUUUAUUGGGAGCUAGGUUCUAGAUGUUUAGCAGGAAAAUGAGAGGGGGGUAAGUGGCUCUUUAUUUUUGGCUUCUAAGCUGAGCACUGCUGCUAAGCGUUGGAGCUUACCUUCAGUUCUCAGGAGCAGGUUGAAGCAGAACACUUCUAUGGAGUGAAUUGAGUAUCUUCAGCUGAUCUAGGCUGCAGGGCAUGGAGUAGGGAGUCGUAACUUACUCAGCACGUAGUUGGGAGAAGCCAAGUAUAAUUAAAGUUCAGACUGCCUCACCAAGGCAUUCUCAACUCUUUUUUUUUUUUUUUUGUUGUUGUUGUUGUUG